AACGAACGCUGGCGGCAGGCCUAACACAUGCAAGUCGAACGCACCGCAAGGUGAGUGGCGCACGGGUGAGUAACACGUGGGAAUGUAUCCUUUGGUUCGGAAUAACGUCUGGAAACGGACGCUAAUACCGGAUGAGCCCUUAGGGGGAAAGAUUUAUCGCCGAAGGUGCAGCCCGCCUCGGAUUAGGUUGUGGGUGGGGUAAAGGCCUACCAAGCCGACGAUCAGUAGCUGGUCGGAGAGGAUGAUCAGCCACACUGGGACUGAGACACCGCCCAGAAUCUUACGGGAGGCAGCAGUGGGGAAUAUUGGACAAUGGGCGCAAGCCGGAUCCAGCCAUGCCGCGUGAGUGAUGAAGACCUUCGGGUUGUAAAGCUCUUUCGCACACGACGAUGAUGACGGUAGUGUGAGAAGAAGCCCCGGCUAACUUCGUGCCAGCAGCCGCCGUAACAC
rnacentral:rRNA from 1 species